rnacentral:rRNA from 1 species
AUUGAACGCUGGCGGCAGGCCUAACACAUGCAAGUCGAACGGUAACAGGAAACAGCUUGCUGUUUCGCUGACGAGUGGCGGACGGGUGAGUAAUGUCUGGGAAACUGCCUGAUGGAGGGGGAUAACUACUGGAAACGGUAGCUAAUACCGCAUAACGUCGCAAGACCAAAGAGGGGGACCUUCGGGCCUCUUGCCAUCGGAUGUGCCCAGAUGGGAUUAGCUAGUAGGUGGGGUAACGGCUCACCUAGGCGACGAUCCCUAGCUGGUCUGAGAGGAUGACCAGCCACACUGGAACUAAGACACGGUCCAGACUCCUACGGGAGGCAGCAGUGGGGAAUAUUGCACAAUGGGCGCAAGCCUGAUGCAGCCAUGCCGCGUGUAUGAAGAAGGCCUUCGGGUUGUAAAGUACUUUCAGCGGGGAGGAAGGGAGUAAAGUUAAUACCUUUACUCAUUGACGUUACCCGCAGAAGAAGCACCGGCUAACUCCGUG